UACGUAGGGUGCGAGCGUUGUCCGGAAUUAUUGGGCGUAAAGAGCUUGUAGGCGGUUUGUCGCGUCUGCCGUGAAAAUCCGGGGCUCAACCCCGGACUUGCGGUGGGUACGGGCAGACUAGAGUGUGGUAGGGGAGACUGGAAUUCCUGGUGUAGCGGUGAAAUGCGCAGAUAUCAGGAGGAACACCGAUGGCGAAGGCAGGUCUCUGGGCCACUACUGACGCUGAGAGGCGAAAGCGUGGGGAGCGAACAGG
rnacentral:rRNA from 1 species